rnacentral:rRNA from 1 species
UCGGAUCAGGUAGGGAUACCCGCUGAACUUAAGCAUAUCAAUAAGCGGAGGAAAAGAAACCAACAGGGAUUGCUCUAGUAACGGCGAGUGAAGCAGCAAUAGCUCAAAUUUGAAAUCUGGCGUCUUCGACGUCCGAGUUGUAAUUUGUAGAGGAUGCUUCUGAGUGGCCACCGACCUAAGUUCCUUGGAACAGGACGUCAUAGAGGGUGAGAAUCCCGUAUGCGGUCGGAAAGGCGCUCUAUACGUAGCUCCUUCGACGAGUCGAGUUGUUUGGGAAUGCAGCUCUAAAUGGGUGGUAAAUUUCAUCUAAAGCUAAAUAUUGGCCGGAGACCGAUAGCGCACAAGUAGAG